GACGAACGCUGGCGGCGUGCUUAACACAUGCAAGUCGAACGAAGUGGCGAACGGGUGAGUAAUACGUGGGUACCCUGCCCUCCUUUUUGGGAUAAGCCUUGGAAACGGGGUCUAAUACCGAAUAAAGGGGGAUGGGCUCGCGGCCUAUCCGCUUGUUGGUGGGGUGAUGGCAUAACAAGGCGGUGACGGGUAGCCGGCCUGAGAGGGUGACCUGCCACAUUGGGACUGAGAUACGGCCCAGACUCGUACGGGAGGCAGCAGUGGGGGAUAUGGCACAAUGGGCGAAAGCCUGAUGCAGCGACGCCGCGUGGGGGAUGAAGGAUUUCGGGUUGUAAAACUCUUUCGAUAUCGAGCGGGUAGGUGGAGAAGAAGCGCCGGCUAACUACGUGCCAGCAGCCGCGGUAAUAC
rnacentral:rRNA from 1 species